rnacentral:rRNA from 1 species
AUUGAACGCUGGCGGCAGGCCUAACACAUGCAAGUCGAGCGCGAAAGGUUCUUCGGGACUGAGUAGAGCGGCGGACGGGUGAGUAACGCGUAGGAAUCUACCCAGUGGUGGGGGACAACUUGGGGAAACUCAAGCUAAUACCGCAUACGCCCUACGGGGGAAAGCGGGGGACCUUCGGGCCUCGCGCCAUUGGAUGAGCCUGCGUUGGACUAGCUAGUUGGUGGGGUAAAGGCCCACCAAGGCGACGAUCCAUAGCUGGUCUGAGAGGAUGAUCAGCCACACUGGGACUGAGACACGGCCCAGACUCCUACGGGAGGCAGCAGUGGGGAAUAUUGCGCAAUGGGCGAAAGCCUGACGCAGCCAUGCCGCGUGUGUGAAGAAGGCCUUAGGGUUGUAAAGCACUUUCAAUUGGGAAGAAAAGUUCACGGUUAAUACCCGUGAGCCCUGACAUUACCUUUAGAAGAAGCACCGGCUAACUCCGUG